rnacentral:rRNA from 1 species
GACGAACGCUGGCGGCGUGCCUAAUACAUGCAAGUUGAGCGCUGAAGGUUGGUACUUGUACCAACUGGAUGAGCAGCGAACGGGUGAGUAACGCGUGGGGAAUCUGCCUUUGAGCGGGGGACAACAUUUGGAAACGAAUGCUAAUACCGCAUAAAAACUUUAAACACAAGUUUUAAGUUUGAAAGAUGCAAUUGCAUCACUCAAAGAUGAUCCCGCGUUGUAUUAGCUAGUUGGUGAGGUAAAGGCUCACCAAGGCGAUGAUACAUAGCCGACCUGAGAGGGUGAUCGGCCACAUUGGGACUGGGAACCGGCCCAAACCCCUUCGGGAGGCAGCAGUAGGGAAUCUUCGGCAAUGGACGAAAGUCUGACCGAGCAACGCCGCGUGAGUGAAGAAGGGUUUCGGAUCGUAAAACUCUGUUGGUAGAGAAGAACGUUGGUGGGAGUGGAAAGCUCAUCAAGUGACGGUAACUACCCAGAAAGGGACGGCUAACUACGUG